UAGGGUGUGGCCAGGUGGUAAGGCAACGGGUUUUGGUCCUGUUAUGUGGAGGUUCGAAUCCUUCCGUCCCAC
rfam:Gossypium raimondii Chr01_contig_820, whole genome shotgun sequence.